rnacentral:rRNA from 1 species
GAUUAGCUUGUUGGUGAGGUAACGGCUCACCAAGGCGACGAUCCCUAGCUGGUCUGAGAGGAUGACCAGCCACACUGGAACUGAGACACGGUCCAGACUCCUACGGGAGGCAGCAGUGGGGAAUAUUGCACAAUGGGCGCAAGCCUGAUGCAGCCAUGCCGCGUGUAUGAAGAAGGCCUUCGGGUUGUAAAGUACUUUCAGCGGGGAGGAAGGUGUUGUGGUUAAUAACCGCAGCAAUUGACGUUACCCGCAGAAGAAGCACCGGCUAACUCCGUGCCAGCAGCCGCGGUAAUACGGAGGGUGCAAGCGUUAAUCGGAAUUACUGGGCGUAAAGCGCACGCAGGCGGUCUGUCAAGUCGGAUGUGAAAUCCCCGGGCUCAACCUGGGAACUGCAUUCGAAACUGGCAGGCUUGAGUCUUGUAGAGGGGGGUAGAAUUCCAGGUGUAGCGGUGAAAUGCGUAGAGAUCUGGAGGAAUACCGGUGGCGAAGGCGGCCCCCUGGACAAAGACUGACGCUCAGGUGCGAAAGCGUGGGGAGCAAACAGGAUUAGAUACCCUGGUAGUCCACGCCGUAAACGAUGUCUACUUGGAGGUUGUGCCCUUGAGGCGUGGCUUCCGGAGCUAACGCGUUAAGUAGACCGCCUGGGGAGUACGGCCGCAAGGUUAAAACUCAAAUGAAUUGACGGGGGCCCGCACAAGCGGUGGAGCAUGUGGUUUAAUUCGAUGCAACGCGAAGAACCUUACCUGGUCUUGACAUCCACGGAAGUUUUCAGAGAUGAGAAUGUGCCUUCGGGAACCGUGAGACAGGUGCUGCAUGGCUGUCGUCAGCUCGUGUUGUGAAAUGUUGGGUUAAGUCCCGCAACGAGCGCAACCCUUAUCCUUUGUUGCCAGCGAUUAGGUCGGGAACUCAAAGGAGACUGCCAGUGAUAAACUGGAGGAAGGUAGGGAUGACGUCAAGUCAUCAUGGCCCUUACGACCAGGGCUACACACGUGCUACAAUGGCGCAUACAAAGAGAAGCGACCUCGCGAGAGCAAGCGGA